rnacentral:rRNA from 1 species
CACAAGCGGUGGAUGAUGUGGAUUAAUUCGAUGCAACGCGAAGACCUUACUACCCUUGACAUGUCCGGAACUUGCCAGAGAUGGCUUGGUGCCCGAAAGGGAAUCGGAACACAGGUGCUGCAUGGCUGUCGUCAGCUCGUGUCGUGAGAUGUUGGGUUAAGUCCCGCAACGAGCGCAACCCUUAUCAUUAGUUGCUACGCAAGGGCACUCUAAUGAGACUGCCGGUGACAAACCGGAGGAAGGUGGGGAUGACGUCAAGUCCUCAUGGCCCUUAUGGGUAGGGCUUCACACGUCAUACAAUGGUCGGUACAGAGGGUUGCCAAGCCGCGAGGCGGAGCCAAUCCCACAAAGCCGAUCGUAGUCCGGAUUGUUCUCUGCAACUCGAGAGCAUGAAGUCGGAAUCGCUAGUAAUCGCAGGUCAGCAUACUGCGGUGAAUACGUUCCCGGGCCUU